rnacentral:lncRNA from 1 species
UGCAUUGUUGAUUUAUAUCCAUCCCCCAUGAAGCCAACCUAUCACUAGUUGGUAGUUUGUUUUGUAAUUGGAGCCACAUAGUAACAAUGGCCUUUGGUCUUGCAGAGUUGGCAAAUAUCAGACAUCUCCAGGGCACUCUAGGUCUGUUUCCAAGUAUACUCAGGUAAAGGCUGCCAAUGGUUACCUGAUCAUUUUGCUUCUGUGUUUGCUCUAAAGUCAGUCUAGCAUUAAGUAUCUUCUUG